ACGGGGUGCAGCAGGCGCGAGUUUUUUGCAAUGCACGAAAGUGUGACAGAGCGAGCCAAAGUGCUUUCCCAUAUUGGGGGAGCUUUUGUGGGAUGUAAAAAGUCUCACGAAUAAGGACUGGGCAAGACUGGUGCCAGCCGCCGCGGUAAUACCAGCGGUCCAAGUCGCAACCACAUUUAUUGGGUCUAAAACAUCCGUAGCUUGCUAUGUAAGUUCCUUGUGAAAUCCGGCUUCUUAAGAGUCGAAGUGCGAGGAAUACUGUAUAGCUUGGGACCGGGAGACGCGAGAAGUACGGUUAGGGUAACGGUUAAAUGUGUUGAUCCUAUCUGGACUAACGACAGCGAAGGCAUCUCGCGAGAACGGGUCUGACAGUCAGGGAUGAAGGCUAGGGGCGCAAAACGGAUUAGAUACCCGUGUAGUCCUAGCAGUAAACACUGCACACUAAACAUUGGGGCCUCUUCGAGAGGUCUCAGUGCUGCACCGAAGGGGAAGAGUGUGCUACCUGGGAAGUAUAGUCGCAAGGCUGAAACUUAAAGGAAUUGGCGGGGGAGAC
rnacentral:rRNA from 1 species